rnacentral:lncRNA from 1 species
AUGGAAAGAGUUUCCUCCUGCUUUCUGCCCUCCACGGCUCCUGUUUUGAUACAAACCAUUUGUCAUUUUCAUUGUUUUUCAGGUUUGCACAAUGACUUGCAGUGUCAGAGAACAUGUUUGGACUGUCAGGAAAGAAAACAAGGAAUGGCAUCCUGUACUGCUUGUGUGCUGGGCAAGAGUCAUAUCCCUGAAGUAAGGAGGGAAGGCCUGUAUUUGCCCAGCAGGGCUGGUGAUUAGAUGACAGAAGAUCCGGUAAGAUUUAUCAAUAAUAUUGCUGACAUUUUUAUCUUUGUUUCUUUGUUUUCUAUAUUGAAAUCAUAUCAUAUAAAACUCAAAAAGGGAAGAAAAAGAUGUUAAAAAUUCCAUUAGAUUCUAAGCAUGUCUUUUUCAUCAAAUGUAACUCCAGCAUGCAGCCCAGUUCCUGCAAAUAGUGAAUGUUCCAUAAAUAUUUAUCAAAUGUAUGAAUUAUUUAAUCUCUCUGAGCCAGUUUUCUCAAAUGCAAAAUGAUGAUAAAACUUACCAGUCUGGCAACCAUAUAUGAGUAUUCAAGGUACUACGUUAAAGCAAUCAGUACAGCAUCUGGAGCGUGGUUAAAUGGAUAAAUAUGCUGUAGCUAUUACUUUCUGGCUGGAACAACUGAGAAUAAUUCCUAUUUAGAGCUACACACUUCAACCAGGCAUCAAGACAAUAUAACCACAAUGUCAUUGUGUCUACUUGAUAGGUUCUGAUGUCUUUUAUAAAAAUAAUAUCAAGUUGUUUUUUCAACCCAAUAUUAUAUACACCAAAAAGAUAAUCUCCAAUAUAGAAUGAAAUAUCACUGAUCUAUGCAAUGUACACAUAUAGACUUAAAGCAAAUUACCCAAAAUAUGCAAUAGUCUUCAAUUAUACUCUGAUUCAAAUGUCCCUUACAAAUCUUCCCAUAUGGGGUUAAUAUAUGUCUUCCACACAAGAUUUUGCUUAAGGGAGAAAGCACUUACAAAAUCAUCAGGACCUGGUUUAAAUCCACUUCUUGUGUUAUUCUGUGUGAGCUGCAUUCAUUGCCACAGCAUUCUGUCCUGGUCCAUACCACAUCAGCCAUUCCUGGCAGUAAGACUGAUGUGCUAGCUGUGUCCAGCAGUCAGUUCCUCGGUGUAUGAUUUCCCAGACCCAGUGCCUGCAUAUAGACUUUUUGUGUCAGUUAUGCAUUUCAGCAAACAUGCCGUCAGGUAAUGGAUAGUGCCUCAGGAUACAGAUCAGAAGACAGGAAAAGAUGCAUUAUUACUGAGGGCUAGUGGGGUGAGAGAAAAAGACUUCUUAUAUCUGGUAUCUGUUGUGAGUCAUAUUUUGAUAAAUGUGGAGUGUCUCUAAUUUCUUAUAUGACUUAACUGAUAAUUUUGUCUCUUUUUAUUAAAGAUCUAAGUUAUGUCUGCUUCCAGUUAGGAGGAAGAAGAAUGUGAAAGAUCUUACUCCUGAGGUAACUACAAGAAAAAAAGAAACAGACAAAAGAAAAAUGAUUUUUAUUUUAUUUUAUUUUAUUUUAUUUUAUUUUAUUUUAUUAUUUUUACGGAAGCAAGCAAGGAAAUUUUAAUGAACUGAUAUGUGGAGAAAAUCUACUCCCUCAUCAGUGAGAAGAGAGUUGUGGGUCAUCCAUUCUUGGUGGUGGAUGCCUGGUCUAGUGGAGGUGAGAAUGGUCAGCUGUGGAUGACAAGAAAAUAACCAAAGUCUUGGAUGAGUUGGACUUUGAAAGAGCACCAAAAAUGAAAUCAAAUCACUUGGUCCAAAAAUCUACCACCACCCUCCCCCCCAACUCCCAUUAACACAUUUACACCCUGAAUUUUGCAGAGAAAGCCAUAAUGAUGACUGGAUAGUAGAAAGAUCACAUUUUCAGAAUUUUGUUUACAUUCUGGGGCCCUAUGAAGCUGAAAUUCAAAGAUCAACCAAAAUCAUCUAAAAUUGAAGUGCAGUCUACUCCCAGUUCAAAAUACUGAUAAGAUCCAUAAAGAUCAUCCUUUGGCCAGUGGGUGUGACACUAGAGGGUGGGUAAUCAAUCUAGUUAAAUAUCUGGUCCAGCUCCAGCUCAGUUAGAUUCUAGGGGGAAUCUGAAUGGUCAGCAGUACCCUUCUCCCCCAUCCUUACCAGCAGACAGAAGAAAAGGAUUUUCACUCUCUGAGAAAUGAAAAAACAAUAAUAUACCAGUCUCCACUUUUUUUUUUUAAACACACAACAGGAAUACAAUGAAAAACGUUGAGACACAUUUCCCGAAGAAGCAGGAAAAUGUGACCUUUCAUAAAGAGAAGAGCAGUCACUAGAAGCAAAUCCAGUUAGAAUUAGCAGGCAAUGACUUUAAACAACUUUUAACAUUAAAACAACCAUCAAAUAUACACUAAGGAAUUUCUAGGAAGAGAUUGAUGUAAUAGGUAAAUAGAUGGAGGCAUUUUAGGAAAGAAAUUGAAACUUAAAUAAAAGGACCAAAUGGAAAUUGUGGAAUUGAAAAAUAUAUGAUCUGAAAGUUUAAAAAAAAAAUCAUUGGAUGAGUUUAAGAACAGAUUGUAUGCUGCAGCGGAACAAAUCAAUGAACUUUGAAGAAGGUCAAUGGAAAUUAACCAAACUGAAGUGCAAAAAGAAAAAAGACUAUAAAAGAAAAAGCAGCAUAUUAGUGACCUGUGGAAUAAUAUAAUGUGAUCUACAUAUAACUGGAAUCCUGGAAAAAGAAACAAACAAACAAAUGUCACUAGAAAAAUCAUUUGAAGAAAUAAAGGCCAACAUUUCCCCAAAUUUGAUGAAAAAUAUUAAUCCACAGGCUCAAGAAGCUCAGCAAACCCUAAGCAAAAUAAAUACAAAGAUACCCACACCUAGGUAAAUUAAAGCUAUGGUCUGGCCCAGCUCAACUUAGCUCUAGAAGGAAUCUGAUGGUUAGUAACCCCAUCCCACACUCACUAGCAGACAAAAAAAAGGACUUUCACUCUCAGAAAUAAGCAAAACAAAAAAAAAAUCAUAUCUAGUUAUAUUCC